GACGAACGCUGGCGGCGUGCUUAACACAUGCAAGUCGAACGGAAAGGCCCUGCUUUUGUGGGGUGCUCGAGUGGCGAACGGGUGAGUAACACGUGAGUAACCUGCCCUUGACUUUGGGAUAACUUCAGGAAACUGGGGCUAAUACCGGAUAGGAGCUCCUGCUGCAUGGUGGGGGUUGGAAAGUUUCGGCGGUUGGGGAUGGACUCGCGGCUUAUCAGCUUGUUGGUGGGGUAGUGGCUUACCACGGCUUUGACGGGUAGCCGGCCUGAGAGGGGGACCGGCACAAUUGGGACUGGGAUACGGCCCAAACUCCUACGGGGGGAAGAAGUGGGGAAUAUUGCACAAUGGGCGGAGGCCGAAUGCAGCAACGCCGGGUGCGGAAUAACGGCCUUCGGGUUGUAACCCGCUUUCGCCUGUGACGAAGCGUGAGUGACGGUAAUGGGUAAAGAAGCACCGGCUAACUACGUG
rnacentral:rRNA from 1 species